rnacentral:rRNA from 1 species
AGAGUUUGUCCUGGCUCAGAACGAACGCGGCGGCGUGGAUAAGACAUGCAAGUCGAACGCUGAUUACAGGGUAGCAAUAUUCUGUAGUGGAGUGGCGCAAGGGUGCGUAACACGUGGGUAAUCUGCCGUGAAGUCUGGAAUAACUUGCUGAAAGGCGAGCUAAUGCGGAUGUGAAAAUUGGAAGGCAUCUUUUGAUUUUCAAAGUUGGGGACCGCAAGGCCUGACGCUUCACGAUGAACCCGCGGCCUAUCAGCUAGUUGGUGAGGUAACGGCUCACCAAGGCUAAGACGGGUAGCUGGUCUGAGAGGACGACCAGCCACACUGGAACUGAGACACGGUCCAGACACCUACGGGUGGCAGCAGUCGAGAAUUUUUCACAAUGGGGGAAACCCUGAUGGAGCGACGCCGCGUGGGGGAUGAAUGGCUUCGGCCCGUAAACCCCUGUCAUUCGGGAUCAAUGCGUCUGACCUAACACGUCAGACGUUGAUAGUACCGGAAGAGGAAGGGACGGCUAACUCUGUGCCAGCAGCCGCGGUAAUACAGAGGUCCCAAGCGUUGUUCGGAUUUACUGGGCGUAAAGGGUGCGUAGGUGGUCGGGUAAGUCUGAUGUGAAAUCUCGGAGCUCAACUCCGAAACUGCAUUGGAUACUAUUCGGCUUGAGGAUUGGAGGGGGGACUGGAAUUCUCGGUGUAGCAGUGAAAUGCGUAGAUAUCGAGAGGAACACCAGUGGCGAAGGCGAGUCCCUGGACAAAUCCUGACACUAAGGCACGAAAGCUAGGGGAGCAAACAGGAUUAGAUACCCUGGUAGUC